UGGUGGAGUGAUUUGUCUGGUUAAUUCCGUUAACGAACGAGACCUCGACCUGCUAAAUAGUGUAACGAAUCCUCGUGAUUCGGUGCUACUUCUUAGAGGGACUGUCGGUGCGUAGCCGAUGGAGGUUCGAGGCAAUAACA
rnacentral:rRNA from 1 species